rnacentral:snoRNA from 1 species
ACCCGGUCUGAUAACUGGAUGGCGUGAUCGGAUAGUAUCGAGGUUGUUCUUGUUGGUCAAACAACAAUUUCAAUCUGUUUGUUGAUAUUAGACUUAUAUCUUACAGGUAUAAGUUUCAGUCCCAUACUGUCUUUUAAUUGACCGGAAUAAUAAUGAUUAAUUUCACGUGGAAUCGAAUUCUUACACGGUAUUGACAGACUUUUAAAGUCAGACUUGUUUUCUACCGUUUACUUUUCCUCUACAUAU